CUGAGGCUUGGUCCCAGUGGGGCACUCUGAGGGCAUGUAGGAUACAUGGCUGACUUGUCAGUGGGGCUGAAAAGCGGACAUUUAGCCAGUGUCUUCAACUCUGCGUUGACCUAAAGAGCAUCCCACAGGAUGCCAGUCUUCCAAA